UACGGGGGGGGUAAGCGUUGUUCGGAAUUACUGGGCGUAAAGGGCUCGUAGGCGGCCAACUAAGUCAGACGUGAAAUCCCUCAGCUUAACUGGGGAACUGCGUCUGAUACUGGAUGGCUUAGAUCCGGGAGAGGGAUGCGGAAUUCCAGGUGUAGCGGUGAAAUGCGUAGAUAUCUGGAGGAACACCGGUGGCGAAGGCGGCAUCCUGGACCGGUAUUGACGCUGAGGAGCGAAAGCCAGGGGAGCAAGCGGG
rnacentral:rRNA from 1 species